rnacentral:lncRNA from 1 species
CUUGUUGGACUAGAGUCGGUGCUCUCCCUCUCCUUUCUUCUCUUCAUCCUUCUCUCCUUCUCCUUCUUUUGGUUAUCUAAAGCCUUAGAACCACCCAAAGUUCUAGUGUUUGGUCCUGAUAUCAGCCAUGUGGAUUCCGGCAAGAUCUUCUUAGACAACAUCUUCAAUCUUGGGGCUUCUAUAGAUCUCUUCUCUUAACAAGUUGCCUCUAAAGCUGUCUAUGGACAUGCUCACUUCUUCGAUGAGGUAUCCUCCUCUCAAAAUCUCUUUCCCCAUCUUUCCAAGCCUGUCCCCCCAUUCGAGAUCGAAAAAUUUUAGAUUUUUAUUUUUUUAUUUUUAUUUAUUUUUUUUGUUUCUUGAUUUCAUCUUAGACUUAUUAACUCAAAUCUUUGGAAUCUCAUUUUUUUAUUUUUUUUUCUAUUUUUAAUAAGGAAGGUUUCUUGGAUCUAAACUAAAGAAGCUGUUAUUAGGUGCCAAAUCUGAUCCAAUGAAUGGAGAGACUUAUCUAAAGGUGACAGUUAUUAGCCUAUGAUCCAAUCUUUUUUUAAAGGUUUUUAGGUUUUUUUGGUCUUUAGGUUCCGUUUUGGAAAGGUAGGAUUUUUAUUCUUGAUUUGGGGAAAUUAGGGUUUUGAGGAUGGCCAUGGGAAGCUGCAUCGGGAU